rnacentral:sRNA from 1 species
GGGGCAGUGGCUGAGGGUGGCUGGGGCAGUGGUUGGGGGUGGCUGGGGCAGUGGCUAAGGGUGGCUGGGGUAGUGGCUGGGGAUGGCUCAGGCAGUGGCUGAGGCGGUGGCUGGGGAGUGGCUGGCACAGUGGCUACAGUUGUCCCAGAGUGGUGACCAGUGGCCACUACAGCCUGAGCCGCUCCCUAGAGCACCUGCGGCUCUGGUGCCUGGGACGAUCACAGGGUUCUGGGGGUCGGCCAUGACCUUGUUUCUCUGGACGGCACUUGACUAUGUCUGUGCCCAGUCGUCCACUCUUCUUCCUGUUCUGUGAGGAGGUGGGUGCUGGUCAGGAUGCACCCUGGACCCCUGCUGCCUGCUGUAGGCACCCUGUCGUCAGGGGUGCGCCGCCCAGUCUGUGCGGGGGUCAGGCCCUUCUCUGUGCUCCAUGCAGGAGGCCCAGUGCUGACCCCCAGCCCUGCUCGGAGCGGGGGCCCUACUGCGUGGACGAGAACACGGAGCGCAGAAACCACUACCUGGACCUCGCCGGGAUUGAGAACUACACGUCCAGAUUCGGCCCUGGGUCCUCUCCUGUGCAAGCCAAGCAGGAGCCCCAGGGCAGGGCCUCGCACCUCCAGGCCCGGUCCCGCUCCCAGGAGCCAGACGCACACACCGUGCACCACCGCAGGUCGCAGGUGCUGGUGGAACACGUCGUGCCAGCCUCGGAGCCUGCUGCCCGGGCCCUGGACCCGCAGCCCCGGCCGAAGGGGCCGGAGAAGCAGUUCCUCAAAUCCCCCAAGGGCUCCGGGAAGCCGCCUGGGGUGCCAGCCAGCAGCAAGUCCGGGAAAGCCUUCAGCUACUACCUGCCGGCCGUCCUGCCACACCAGGCCCCUCAGGAUGGCCACCACCUCCCGCAGCCUCCCCCGCAGCCCCCACCACCACCCUAUGGCCACAAGCGGUACCGCCAAAAGGGCAGGGAGGGCCACUCGCCACUCAAGGCCCCACACGCCCAGCCUGCCACAGUGGAGCACGAGAUGGUGCGGGAGCUGCCGCCCACGCCAGCAGGAGAGGGCU